CUAUCCUUGUUGGUGCAAGUGCAUGGGGGGAUUUUCUGGGAAUGAUAGCGGGUCAUGCAUACUACUUCUUGGCGUUUGUGUAUCCACGAAUGACGGCUCGGCAUCCCUUGAAAACUCCAUCUUUCCUCAAAGCCCUGUUCGCUGAUGAACCUGUUGUGAUUGCACGGCCAGAAGAUGUGCCUUUUGAUGAAAUCCACCAAGACUGAAUCUUCAUCUUCUUCAAAAUCAGCCACACGCACCUUGACCUGACCUUUGUAGUUAAAAGGGCAUCCACUAGUGACUUUUGUAGUUGUGGAUAAUGUGGAAACGAGAAUGUUGGUUCUGAUUUUUCCUUA